CUGCGGUUGCAUAAGCCACACCGAGCUUUUCCGUGACAAUGGAGCCUUAAGUAGACGGCUAAUGGAGCAACAAUCACAGCGAACAUUUAUGCAGUCAUCGCUGACUGUGCCCAGUUAGCCCAGAGAGAGGAAACCAACCCUCUGUCUCCCACCAUCUGUUUCCGUGGACUCAGAGAUUGCCGAGGUGUGAGAAGGACUUCAGAGAUUGCCGAGUACAACCCUGGAUUCACAGACGGGAACACAGAACUGGACAGGGCUCCCGGUGUAUGUGCCCAAGUCCCACAGUCCAACCAUGGCUGAGCCCCUGACCCCCGCGUUCUGUACCUCUCCUCUAACACACCCUCCUCCUUCCCUCCCCAAAGAAAGCGUGUUCCCGGAUUUUUCUCAA